GUAAGACGCUUAGAAGGUUUUUCACCUAACCCCUUACCGAAAGCGACUAUUGGGCUUAUGGACGCCUUACCUUUUAAGAACUAGCCUGUACGUGAGGAGAACCUAAUGCCGCCCACGAUCUGUCACCUACUAGGGAGUGCGCUCCUACUUUCCGUUCAAGCCAGCAGUAAUCAAAGGUAAUCUUAAGUAUGAGCACCACGCUCACACUUAAUCCUACAACUCUAACUAGUUGCAGCUAGCUAGAGCUCCUAUACAAGAUAGGACGAUGAUGCACACACAGGAGUGGUUAC
rnacentral:lncRNA from 1 species